rnacentral:rRNA from 1 species
AUACGGAGGGUGCAAGCGUUGUCCGGAUUUAUUGGGUUUAAAGGGUGUGUAGGCGGUGUAUUAAGUCAGUGGUGAAAGCCUGCGGCUCAACCGUAGAACUGCCAUUGAUACUGACACACUUGAGUAUGGACGAGGUAGGCGGAAUUUAUGGUGUAGCGGUGAAAUGCAUAGACACCAUAAAGAACACCGAUAGCGAAGGCAGCUUACUAGGCCAUAACUGACGCUGAGGCACGAAAGCGUGGGGAGCGAACAGGAUUAGAAACCCCAGUAGUCC